GACGAACGCUGGCGGCGUGCCUAACACAUGCAAGUCGAGCGGGGACUUGGGAGCUUGCUUCCAAGUUCUAGCGGCGGACGGGUGAGUAACGCGUGAGCAACCUGCCUCAAACAGGGGGAUAACGCAUCGAAAGAUGUGCUAAUACCGCGUAAGACCACAGUGCCACAUGGCACAGGGGUCAAAGGAGCAAUCCGGUUUGAGAUGGGCUCGCGUCCGAUUAGCUAGUUGGUGAGAUAACGGCCCACCAAGGCGACGAUCGGUAGCCGACCUGAGAGGGUGAUCGGCCACAUUGGAACUGAGAAACGGUCCAG
rnacentral:rRNA from 1 species